rnacentral:rRNA from 1 species
UACGUAGGGUGCAAGCGUUGUCCGGAAUUAUUGGGCGUAAAGCGCGCGCAGGCGGCAGGUUAAGUAAGGUGUGAAAUCUCCCUGCUCAACGGGGAGGGUGCACUUUAGACUGACCAGCUAGAGGGCGGUAGAGGGUGGUGGAAUUGCUGGUGUAGCGGUGAAAUGCGUAGAGAUCAGCAGGAACACCCGUGGCGAAGGCGGCCACCUGGGCCGUACCUGACGCUGAGGCGCGAAGGCUAGGGGAGCGAACGGG